rnacentral:lncRNA from 1 species
GUCUGUCAGAGAAGCAGAAUGACACAGAAAGAAAACCAAGGACAGAGAGAGAAAUUGGUCCUUCAGUGGUGGCAGAGCGGAGUCGGACCCAUGAGCACCUACUGGGGUGACUACUUGAUCAAUAUCCGCCCCAGGGUUUGGGAGCCUCUGUCUACAGCCCCUCACCUGGUGAGCACAGCUCAGGCUCUUUCAGAGGCGAAAGGCGAAGCCUGGAACAGUGAGGUACUACUGUGCCUUUUUCAUAUAUCCCUACGGUGUCUUCAGGGAGCAGAAUAGACAUUUAACAAAUUAUUGUCAAACCAGAUACUCCCUUCUACUCCGAAUUCAUGCAGAAUGAAAAGUCUGCGUCACCAAGUUUACUUCUGAGCUAAGGGCCACAUCUGGAAGUUUCCAGGCUCAGGGUUGAAUCAGAGCUGCAGCUGCCAGUCUGUGCUACAGCCACAGCCACGCCAGAUCCUUAACCCACUAAGCAAGGCCAGGGAUGGAACCCACAUCCUCAUGGAUCCUAGUUAGGUUUGUAAGCCACUGAGCCAUGAUAGGAACUCCAAUUAGCAAUUGAUUCUUAUCUCCCUCCUCAGCCCAUCUCCCAGGCACAUUGUCUUUUGUUCCUGCCACGGGACCUGUGGCUUUUUGACCCAGAUGCCUGAAUAUGGAUAAUUCAUGCCUAGGCCGUGGGCUGUGUUAGAACAGUGGCUGGAGUUGUAAACUGCUUCUUGAACCAGGGCUCUUUACCAGCCGUGAGAGCGAGGACAAGUUGGCUCAACUCUCCAGGCUUCCGUCUUCUUCCCAUAUACUGAGGGCUUUGGACUGUGAUUCCUAACAUCCCCUGAGCCCCAGACUGUCUCUGAAUCGGAGGGGUUUGGGAAUUCCAAAGACCAUGGUUCGGUGGUAGACAGCCUCCCGAGGGCCCUCCUGCAAGCAGUUCCGUUGCAUGUGAUGAGGCAGGAUAGCCUGACUUUGCAAACCACAGCCUCGGUCUGCAGAGAUGCAGCCUUGGUGGGAAAACUUGCCACCCUGGGGCUCUUCUCAUCCAGAAUGAGGGCUUCUGAGAGGGGGAAAUAUGUGCUGAGGAGCAGCAACAGGAAAAAGCACAGAGUAACGGCCCUGCUUUUCAGAGGAGAUGUGGUCAUCGGAGCAGUUCUUUUACUGACGCAAGACUAUUGCGCUCCAUUUGUUGAAUGUCACCUGGGCAUCGUGCACUCGCUCACAGUCUCACAACGAAUAGCAGGAUUCGUGCUGUUAUUGAUUUUAUAGAGGAGGAGGCACCAGCUCAGAGAGGUUAUGUAAAAGCCCAAGGUCACACAGCUAUUGAAUGGCAGGACAAAAAUUCAAAUUCCAGUUGAUUCACUCCAGGCCAUUCCUUAUUUGCCAAGACAGAUACUGUCCCAAUCCCACACCUUCAGCAGUGAAGUUCCUUUGCUUGAGCUCUGGACUUCUAUCCCUGCUUCACAUACCAUCUCCUGUAAUUUCUCCCCCACUCCUUUUUUCGGCCAUGUCUGCAGCAUGUGGAAGUGUCCUGGGCCAGGGAUCGAACUGACCCAAGCCACUUCAGUGACAAUGCCUGAUCUUUGACCCACUGAGCCACCAGGGAACUCCUUUCCUGUUUUUCCCCACCUUUUUAAAAAUUUUAUUUUUCUUAAUUUUAUUUUUAUUAGAGUAUAGUUGAGUUUCAGUGUUGUGUCAAUUUCUGCUGUACAGCAUAGUGACCCAGUCAUACAUUUGUAUAUAUAUAUACAUAUUCUUUUUCUCAUAUUCUCUUCCAUCAUGGUCUAUGCCAAGAGACUGGAUAUUGUUCCCUGUGCUGUACUAUAGGACCCCACUGCUUAUCCAUUCUAAAUGUAUCCUUUUUUUUUUUUAAACUCCUCCCUUUCAACUGGCUUCUUCCUCUUGGCUCAUAAUCAUGAGCACCUCUCCAAUUUUAAAACGAAGCCAUACACAGAAAGCUUUCCCCUCAACCCCAUGUUUUCCCUCCUUCCUUUCACAUCCUCGCUCAAGGUCUCUGUUUCCUCAUCGCCAUGUACUCUCCCAAGUUACCGCACGUCAUUGAAAUCACUCUGCAUGAAAUUCCCAGUAGGUUUCAGUUUUUGCAGCAGGUGACACCGACCACCUUCUUCUUACGAAAACAUCCUCCUCCCUGCUUCUAUGGCAUCCUUCUCUCUUGGUUACCUCCUGGGUAGUUCCUCAUUCCCCAUCUCCCCUUUCCUCAGUCCGUUCUGUGAACGUGGAAAGGCUCUGCCUCCAACCUCUUCCCUUCUCACAACAGAGCACCGCAGGCUAAUCCUCCACAGCCCUGGCUACAGUCCCCACCUGUGCACAGCCAGCUUUCCAAUCUCUGUUUCCUUUCCUGACCGAAGAUCUGUGCUCAAGGUCACAGAUAGGACUUCUAGACAUGGCCCCUGAGUGCCCCAGGGGUCUUCAGAGUCAACGUGUUCAAAAUGGGACUCAUUAGGAGUUCCUGUCAUGGCUCAGUGGUUAAAGAAUCUGACUAGCAUCCAUGAGGACACAGGCUCGAUCUCUGGCCUCACUCGGUGGGUUAAGGAUCCGGCGUUGCUGUGAGCCUUGGUGUAGGUCGCAGACAGCUACAGCUCCAAUUGGACCCCUAGCCUGGGAACCUCCAUGUGCCAUGUGUGCGGCCCACAAAAGACAAAAAAAACAAAAAAAAAAAGGGACUCAUUUUCUACUCCCGAAGUUGCUUCUCUUAUAUUGUUCAUUUGGGAUAUUCAACCUUGGCACUCAGAUAAUCCACCCAGUAACCCAAGUGGGAAAUCUAGAUUCCUUUUAUGGCUUCAUGCCCUCAACAUGUUAUCGAAUCAGGUCCCACUGCUCGCUGCGUACAAAAUUAAUACAAGUAGUGGAGAGGAAAGUUGCCUUUAAUUGGAAUGCCAGCAAUCUGGGGACUUGGUGGGCUCAGCAACCCCCAAAACCACCUCUGGAGGUGAAAGGUUUUAAAGGGGAGCAGGGAAGUAAUCUCAGUUAAUCCUUGAGAUGGGGGGGUCAGAGUCUGCCAUCCCCCACCUCGUGCAGGCUUGUCACCUCCUCGUGAUCUUCCUUUCGAUACUAUCUUGUUCACAGUUUGUUGGAGAGAUUACUGAAAGGGAAGCUGGGGAAGAGAGCUGGUCAUCUGUUGACUACUUAUUCUUCAUUUCUACUUCUUUCAUCUAUAGAAAAAAGGCGACAAAUUAGGCACAGUAUUGUGAGAUCAAAAGAUUUGAAAGAUGGGUAAGGUCUGAAGAUGAGUAGAGCAUAGGGGUGCCUGAUUUAAGGUUAGUGACAAGACCGAGGGGUGCCUCCCGAAGAAAGCUCUUUCCUGCAGAGAGCUUUUUCCUGCCAAUGCUGUUCAAAAAACAUACCACACACACUGCAUAACGUACCACAUCCACAUCCAAAGUGUCACUAAGACCUAUCAAUUCUGCCCCCCAAGACCCCUUGCCUCAGGCCCCUCCUUUCCCCACUGCCACUGUCUGAGCUCAGGCUCUCCAGGGACCAAUGCAUUCGCUCCCAAAGCACUGUACCCACGUCUGGUUUUGUCUCCUCCAGCUUAUGACCUUUUGGGGAGUCUCCAUUGUUGAAGGAUCUUGCCCCAUCCACCUCUCUAGCCUUUUCUUCCACCCCUGCCCACCAACCCUGCACUCUGCUUGGGGCAGAACACCUGCCUGCAGUUCUCAGAUCCCCUCUUCACUUUUACACAUUGCUCCACCUGCACAAAGUGCCUUUGCUUUUGUCCUUCUCCUUCUCCAAGACCCUGUGCCCAACUCAGGAGCCAUUCCUGGCCUCCCUAGGUAAACCUCAGCCUGUCCUGCUCUCUGCUUCCCACCUGCCUGCUCCUGACACUUGCUGCAGCCCCCACUGCACCUCGGCAGUGUGUGUAUACAAGUAUUGCUGCUCUGCUGAGAGGGUGGAGGCCGUGCCGUUUGAGUUUGCAUUCUCAGCCCUGUGCGCAUGACUCUGGGAUACUAUGCUGUUAGAAGAGAUGCUGUUGAAUAAUAACAGGUCAGUGUAUGACUUUGGGGAGACGUGGUCAACUUGAACUUCAGCUGGUACUCAUAGAAUCACACAACUUGGCAGUCAGAGCUAAAGCCCAGCCUUGGAGAUAUAAUCCAAACACUUCUUUUAUCUAUUCCGCCUUUGGGUAUUGAGUGCCUUCCUGGAGGGUGGGGGGGGCACCACUGUACUGGGCACCGAGAUUCCAAGAUGAAUGAAAUACCACUCGGAGCCCCCAAGGAACUCAGAGGUCGGGGACACACCAAAGUGAGAGCAUCAUUGGCACUUUAUGAGUGGUGAUAUGGCCCCAGUAUGGAUACAUGUGUGCUUUUAUUUUUUACUGGGGGGGGGGGUGCCAUGGCUGGAGGCUCUGUCCCACCCCUAGAUGCAGAUGCUGUUACUAGAGAUUAAAGUUAUUUAGGAUGAGGAUCAAGAGAAGUUUAUCAAACCUGCAUUUAAGGAUGAGAUUAGCAAUUUCCCCAAAUUGCCCAGAGGGCUAAGUAUCAUGACCCCUAACUUUGACUGACAGGGGCCCUGGGAAAAACCAUUGUAAACCUUGUGUCCUAGAUUCCUAUGUAAUAUCUACCAAUUGGCAUUCAUGUUUGCAUUCACCAUCUAUAUCUGUAGCUCUAUCUAUUUCUGUACCGAUGAUGUGAUGUGCUGUUCCUUGUGGUCUGAGGAAGUAGAUGAAUAAGAGAGAUCCCAUGUUAAGAAGUUGAAAGCAUGUGUCGAGGUCAUUAAAGACCGAGAAACUGCCAUAAAUUUGAGAAGAAAUGAGCUUGAAAACUAGAUGAAAUGUAGGAUCCAGGAUUGGGCCAGAAAAAGCACGUAAGUAAAAAAGGUCACCAAAUUCGAUUGAGGUCUUAAUUAGUAACUACUAAUGAAUUUAUGUUAAUUUUAAAAUUUUGGUCAUUGUGCCAUGUUUUCUUUAGAUACUGACUUUAAAGAGUGUAAAGAGUAUACAGAACUCUCUUGCAACUUUAAGUCUAAAAUUAUUUCAAAAUAAAUUGUUAAUAAAUAUAGUUGUCUAAAGCAAAAAAAAAAA